rnacentral:piRNA from 1 species
UAGAACUCAAAGCAGUGGCCUCUUUCUCCUA